UACGUAGGGUGCAAGCGUUGUCCGGAAUUAUUGGGCGUAAAGAGCUCGUAGGCGGUUUGUCGCGUCGGGAGUGAAAUCCACUGGCUUAACUGGUGGCUUGCUUUCGAUACGGGCAGACUGGAGGUAUGCAGGGGAGAACGGAAUUCCUGGUGUAGCGGUGAAAUGCGCAGAUAUCAGGAGGAACACCGGUGGCGAAGGCGGUUCUCUGGGCAAUAACUGACGCUGAGGAGCGAAAGCGUGGGGAGCGAACAGG
rnacentral:rRNA from 1 species